rnacentral:tRNA from 1 species
GGAGACGUGGGUGAGUGGCUGAAACCGGCAGUCUUGAAAACUGCUAUACCUGUAAGGGUAUCGGAGGUUCGAAUCCUCCCGUCUCCG